rnacentral:SRP_RNA from 1 species
GCCAGGCACGGUGGCUCACAUCUGUAAUCCCAGCACUUUGGGAGGCCGAGGUGGGCGGAUCACCUGAGGUCAGGAGUUCCAGACCAGCCUGGCCAACAUGGUGAAACCCUGUCUCUACUAAAAAUANNNNNNNNNNUAUUUUUAGUAGAGACAGGGUUUCACCAUGUUGGCCAGGCUGGUCUGGAACUCCUGACCUCAGGUGAUCCACCCAUCUU